UACAGAGGCCCCAAGCGUUACUGAGAAUCACUGGGUUUAAAGGGUGCGUAGGUGGCGCGUUAAGUCCGUUGUGAAAUCCCUGGGCUCAACCCAGGAAUUGCUUCGGAUACUGGCGUGCUUGAGGCCGGUAGGGGUCACUGGAACUGACGGUGGAGCGGUGAAAUGCGUAGAUAUCGUCAGGAACGCCGAUGGUGAAGACAGGUGACUGGGCCGGAACUGACACGAUGAGGCACGAAAGCGUGGGGAGCGAACGGGG
rnacentral:rRNA from 1 species